rnacentral:rRNA from 1 species
CCNCCUGCCGCGUGUGUGAAAAGGUCUUCGGAUUGUAAAGCACUUUAAGUUGGGAGGAAGGGUUGUAGAUUAAUACUCUGCAAUUUUGACGUUACCGACAGAAUAAGCACCGGCUAACUCUGUGCCAGCAGCCGCGGUAAUACAGAGGGUGCAAGCGUUAAUCGGAAUUACUGGGCGUAAAGCGCGCGUAGGUGGUUUGUUAAGUUGGAUGUGAAAUCCCCGGGCUCAACCUGGGAACUGCAUUCAAAACUGACUGACUAGAGUAUGGUAGAGGGUGGUGGAAUUUCCUGUGUAGCGGUGAAAUGCGUAGAUAUAGGAAGGAACACCAGUGGCGAAGGCGACCACCUGGACUAAUACUGACACUGGGGUGCGAAAGCGUGGGGAGCAAACAGGAUUAGAUACCCUGGUAGUCCACGCCGUAAACGAUGUCAACUAGCCGUUGGAAGCCUUGAGCUUUUAGUGGCGCAGCUAACGCAUUAAGUUGACCGCCUGGGGAGUACGGCCGCAAGGUUAAAACUCAAAUGAAUUGACGGGGGCCCGCACAAGCGGUGGAGCAUGUGGUUUAAUUCGAAGCAACGCGAAGAACCUUACCAGGCCUUGACAUCCAAUGAACUUUCUAGAGAUAGAUUGGUGCCUUCGGGAACAUUGAGACAGGUGCUGCAUGGCUGUCGUCAGCUCGUGUCGUGAGAUGUUGGGUUAAGUCCCGUAACGAGCGCAACCCUUGUCCUUAGUUAUCAGCACGUAAUGGUGGGCACUCUAAGGAGACUGCCGGUGACAAACCGGAGGAAGGGGGGGAUGACGUCAAGUCAUCAUGGCCCUUACGGCCUGGGCUACACACGUGCUAACAUGGUCGGUACAGAGGGUUGCCAAGCCGCGAGGUGGAGCUAAUCCCAUAAAAACGAUCGUAGUCCCGGAUCGCAGUCUGCA